UACAGAGGGUGCGAGCGUUAAUCGGAAUUACUGGGCGUAAAGCGCACGUAGUCGGCUUUGCAAGUCGGGUGUGAAAUCCCCGGGCUCAACCUGGGAACUGCAUCCGAGACUGCAUUGCUAGAGUAUGGGAGAGGGAAGCGGAAUUUCUGGUGUAGCAGUGAAAUGCGUAGAUAUCAGAAGGAACAUCAGUGGCGAAGGCGGCUUCCUGGACCAAUACUGACGAUCAGGUGCGAAAGCUAGGGGAGCAAACGGG
rnacentral:rRNA from 1 species